GAUGAACGCUGGCGGCGUGCCUAAUACAUGCAAGUCGAGCGAACAGACGAGGAGCUUGCUCCUCUGACGUUAGCGGCGGACGGGUGAGUAACACGUGGAUAACCUACCUAUAAGACUGGGAUAACUUCGGGAAACCGGAGCUAAUACCGGAUAAUAUAUUGAACCGCAUGGUUCAAUAGUGAAAGACGGUUUUGCUGUCACUUAUAGAUGGAUCCGCGCGUGAUUAGCUAGUUGGUAAGGUAGCGGCUUACCAAGGCAACGCUGGGUAGCCGGCCUGGGAGGGUGAACGGGCACAAUGGGCCUGCGAUACGGACCAGACUCCUACCGGAGGCAGUAGUGGGGAAUCUUGCGCAGUGGCGCGGAGCCUGAUGCAGAAACGCCGCGUGCGGGAUGCCGGCCUUCGGGUUGUAAACAGCUUUGGAAUGUGCUGAAGAGUGAGUGACGGUAUUGGGUCAGGAAGCCACGGCUAACUACGUG
rnacentral:rRNA from 1 species